rnacentral:lncRNA from 1 species
GCACGUGAAAGGCCUUAGCCCAUAAGGGCUAUGGAAAGAAAAAGGAUUUUAAAAAAGGGUUUACACAAAGAAACAGGACAAGCGUCUCUUCAUGCACGAAAUACAGAAUCGUGAAAUAGAGCCUUGCUACUCAGUACUCACGCGGGCAAUAGGAAGUUCUAAGUUUCUUUACAAAUCACUAACUCUUGAGCUCAGGUAUAUAAAAUUCUCUAUUGUCAAUUAUUCUACAGUGGUAGUAGGUAAGAAUUGAAUAGUUAAUUCCCUUCUUUUUCCGUAUCAACAGUAAAUCCCAGGUUUAGGUGUGAAACUUUGAAAUUAAUUAAAAUGCACUGGUUGUUGUAGAAUCAAUUGUUUGACGGGUAUAAAUUGGAUUGGGGUCUACGUAUUGGCUCAAGGAGUAUUGAGGUGAGUUGAUAUAACCCUUUACUAAAGUGGCUUAACUCACAAAAGCGCGCAUACAAGAUGUUUGAUGAAUUGCUUAAAAGAGUUUAUAUUUACUUAAUUGGAACGAGUGAGUACCUAUUAACUUAGAAUUGUUCUAGCAAAAGUUUCGAUGAUUUAUUAUGAUAUAUAUGCAUAAAUUUUCAGAUUUUUGUGUUAUUCUUAUAUGUUAUUUUCAUGUUGAAAAUUUAUGAAGAAGCAAGAAUCUUUAGAAAUACUUUUAGAUGUUUAUUUCAUUCUUAUGUCAUACUUUUUAUUUAAGGAUACCAGCAUGAGCAUGUACAUGAUGUUCCAAAAAGAAAAGAUUUAGACUUGAAAAGUCACAAGAAGAAGUUUUAGAAAGAAAAGAUUUUUGGGAGUAUCCUUUAUUCUGAGAAGGGGUCAUCGCCCAGGCCGAGGAUCCUGAUCAAGGCGUUUGACUUCCUGAAACUACUUGUGCCAAAGUAGGGAGCACACGAGCCGAGGGUCUCGUUGCUGAGAAUUUACUUAGUCAUGCUAAGGUAUGAUACAUGAGCGCUGAGAACCAUGAAGCGAGUGGCACCUCGUGGAUUGGGCCUAUUCGAUCAGGUUAGGAUCGAACCUGUGCCGAUCACACGGUGACUGAGACAGAAUUAAGUCAAGAUAGUUGGAACUCCCAAAGUAUAAAGCGAAGUAUUUUUUUUUAAGAAAGAAAAAGAAAAUAAUUUCUUUUAGAAUAUUCAUAAACUGUUAUUAUGCAAUUAUUUUAGAAUUGUUCUUAUAAGCUUUAUGUUUUACAUGCAUUUAGAACCUUUGCCCGUAAUGUACAUGUUAUUAAAGUUUCGCCCCCUGUUGUUGAGACUCACUGAGUACAACGGAUGGUACUGAUGUUCUCUUUUGGGAACCUACGUUGGUUUGCGGUACAACGUAGGAACCGGAUUUGCAGGCGAGCAGGCUACGAGUUAAGACUUCCUUCUCUUCCAGUGCUAUUGGUGAGCUCCGCUUUUGUUCGUGGAGUAUUCCUUAGAGUUAUCUUUAUUUAGUUAUUUCUUUGUUUACUUAGAGAACUGGCCAGGAAAUCUCAUGUCCUGAGUAGUGCGUCAGUUUAUCAGUAGAG